GUAUUUGAGAGUUUGAUCCUGGCUCAGGAUGAACGCUGGCGGCGUGUUUAAGGCAUGCAAGUCGUACGAGCCGACGCAAGUCGGUUAGUGGCAGACGGGAGAGUAACACCUUGGUAACCCACCUCCGAGACGGGGAUAGCUCACCGAAAGGUGAAUUAAUACCCGAUGGCAAUGCGGGGACGCAAGUCAUUCGCAUUUAAAGCUUGUCCUCACGCAAGUGGGGAUCGGCACUUGGAGAGGGACCUAGGUCCUAUCAGCUAGUUGGUGAGGUAAUGGCUCACCAAGGCUACGACGGGUAGGGGGCGUGAGAGCGUGACCCCCCUCACUGGGACUGAGAAACUGCCCAGACACCUACGGGUGGCUGCAGUCAAGAAUCUUCCACAAUGGCCGAAAGGCUGAUGGAGCGACGCCGCGUGCAGGAAGAAGCCCCUCGGGGUGUAAACUGCUUUUCUUAGGGACGAAUUCGUGACGGUACCUGAGGAAUAAGAGGUUGCUAACUCUGUGCCAGCAGCAGCGGUAAUACAGAGACCUCAAGCGUUAUCCGGAUUUACUGGGCGUAAAGAGCCCGAAGGUGGUUUGGAAAGUCAUUGGUUAAACCCUGAGGCUUAACUUCAGGUUUGCUGGUGAAACUUCCAAGCUAGAGGCCGGGAAAGGCAAGCGGAACUAUCGGUGUAGUCGUAAUAAGCGCUGAUAUCGAUAGGAACACCAAAGGCGAAGGCAGCUUGCUGGAACGCGCCUGACACUCUAGGACGAAAGCGUGGGUAGCGAAUAGGAUUAGAUACCCUAGUAGUCCACGCCCUAAACGAUGCGCACUAGGUAUUGGGAGUAUCGACCCUCCCAGUGCCGUUUAAAAAAGCUAACGCGUUAAGUGCGCCGCCUGGGUAGUACGGCCGCAAGGUUGAAACUCAAAGGAAUAGACGGGGACCCGCACAAGCGGUGGAUCAUGCGGUUUAAUUCGAUGGUACGCGAGGAACCUCACCAGGACUUGAAAUGUAGCUGCAUUCCGAUAGAAAUAUUGGAAGCCUUUGAGGGUGCUACACAGGUGCUGCAUGGUUGCCGUCAGCUCGUGCCGUGAGGUGUACCGUUAAGUCGGGUAACGAGCGCAACCCCUAUUCUGUGUUAAAUGUACACAGAGGACUGCCCGCGCAAGCGGGAGGAAGGCGGGGACGACGUCAAAUCAGCAUGGCCCUUACGUCCUGGGCGACACGCAUGAUACAAUGGCCGAUACAAAGGGUAGCCAAGCCGCAAGGCGGAGCCAAUCUCACAAAAUCGGCCCUAGUUCAGAUUAGAGUCUGCAACUCGACUCUAUGAAGCCGGAAUCGCUAGUAAACGCGAAUCAGAACGUCGCGUUGAAUACGUUCUCGGGUCUUGUACUCACCGCCCGUCACACCACGAAAGCUGGUAACGCCCGAAAGCUCCCGUAAGGGGGACUAAGGCAGGAUCAGUGAUCAGGGUGAAGUCGUAACAAGGCAUCCCUAGCGGAAGCUGGGGAUGGAUCACCUCCUUU
rfam:Candidatus Magasanikbacteria bacterium RIFCSPLOWO2_12_FTLL_43_12 rifcsplowo2_12_scaffold_3488, whole genome shotgun sequence.